rnacentral:rRNA from 1 species
CCUACGGGAGACUGCAGUGAGGAAUAUUGGUCAAUGGCCGCGAGCCUGAACCAGCCAAGCCGCGUGAAGGAUGACGGCCCUACGGGUCGCAAACUUCUUUUACAGAGGAAUAAAGUGCGGCACGUGUGCGUUCCUGCAUGUACCCUAUGAAUAAGCAUCGGCUAACUCCGUGCCAGCAGCCGCGGUAAUACGGAGGAUCCGAGCGUUAUCCGGAUUCAUUGGGUUUAAAGGGUGCGCAGGUGGGGCUUUAAGUCCGCUGUGAAAGCUUGGGGCUCAACCGCAGAGUAGCCGUUGAAACUGGGAGCCGUGAGUGCGGUGGAGGUAGGCGGAAUGCGUGGUGUAGCGGUGAAAUGCUUAGAUAUCGCGAAGAACUCCGAUUGCGAAGGCAGCUUGCCGUGCUGCCACUGACGUUGAGGCUCGAAAGCGUGGGGAUCGAACAGGAUUAGAUACCCUAGUAGUC